CCUACGGGAGGCAGCAGUGGGGAAUCUUGCGCAAUGGGGGCAACCCUGACGCAGCCAUGCCGCGUGAAUGAUGAAGGCCUUAGGGUUGUAAAGUUCUUUUGCCCGUGACGAUGAUGACGGUAACGGGAGAAUAAGCUCCGGCUAACUUCGUGCCAGCAGCCGCGGUAAUACGAAGGGGGCUAGCGUUGUUCGGAAUUACUGGGCGUAAAGCGCGCGCAGGCGGUUCGAUAAGUUAGGGGUGAAAUCCCUGGGCUCAACCCAGGAAUGGCCUUUAAGACUGUCGAGCUAGAGGACGAGAGAGGUGAGUGGAAUUCCCAGUGUAGAGGUGAAAUUCGUAGAUAUUGGGAAGAACACCGGUGGCGAAGGCGGCUCACUGGCUCGUUUCUGACGCUGAGGCGCGAAAGCGUGGGGAGCAAACAGGAUUAGAUACCCUGGUAGUCCACGCCCUAAACGAUGAGUGCAGUGUCGGAGCUAGCUCUCGCGCCGCNGCUACGCCUAACGCACUCCGCCGUGGGAGGUACGGCCGCGAGGUUAAAACGUUAAAGUAGAAUUAGAGGNGUGAGUGUUCGACGACGCGACGACGGAGGAGG
rnacentral:rRNA from 1 species